AGCGAACGCUGGCGGCAGGCCUAACACAUGCAAGUCGAGCGGCCGUAGCAAUACGGCAGCGGCAGACGGGAUAGUAACACGUGGGAACGCGCCCUUCGGUUCGGAAUAACUCAGGGAAACUUGAGCUAAUACCGGAUACGCCCUUACGGGGAAAGAUUUAUUGCCGAAGGAACGGCCCGCGUCCGAUUAGCUAGUUGGUGAGGUAAUGGCUCACCAAGGCAACGAUCGGUAGCUGGUCGAGAGGAUGACCAGCAUCACUGGGACUGAGACACGGCCCAGACUCCUACGGGAGGCAGCAGUGGGGAAUAUUGGACAAUGGGCGCAAGCCUGAUCCAGCCAUGCCGCGUGGAUGAUGAAGGCCUUAGGGUUGUAAAGUCC
rnacentral:rRNA from 1 species